UACGGAGGGAGCUAGCGUUGUCCGGAAUUAUUGGGCGUAAAGCGCGCGCAGGCGGUCCCUUAAGUCUGAUGUGAAAGCCCACGGCUCAACCGUGGAGGGUCAUUGGAAACUGGGGGACUUGAGUGCAGAAGAGGAAAGUGGAAUUCCAUGUGUAGCGGUGAAAUGCGUAGAGAUGUGGAGGAACACCAGUGGCGAAGGCGACUUUCUGGUCUGUAACUGACGCUGAGGCGCGAAAGCGUGGGGAGCAAACAGG
rnacentral:rRNA from 1 species